rnacentral:lncRNA from 1 species
AGGAACUGGAAAUUAGAACAGUGUUUGGGCCAAAUAGAUGGGGGUGAGCAGGGGAGGAAAGGUCUUGAGGGAGCAGCACGCUUGCCUGAUGGGUGCCCAAAGCCAGGGGCAGGUGGAGGUGAGAGAAGGACAAGCUCUGCAAACGUUGCGGAAGCGCUCUGUCCAUGGAGAAGGCACAGGACUUCCAUGUGGGGAGCAGCUUACUCCUGCUGAGAACUUUGGGGAGACAGAGUGGAGCAGCCAUCUCAGACCUGAGCGGCUAAGGAGCUGGGUCCCCCUCUGUCGCACUGUGCAGAGCUGCUGGACUUUGCAGUAAGCAGCCUUCAGGUCUAAAGGGCUUCCCAAUACAUUUGGAAUAAAAUACCAAGAGAUUAUCCUGUUCUAGAAGGCCUUAGAGGAUCAGGCUCCAACUUUUGCACCAACCUAAUACGCAGCUGUUCCUCUCACUACAUUCAAGCCUCUGUUCAAAUGUCACGUGAUUAUUGAGUUCUUCACUGUAUAUCCUCCUUACAAUAGACCCUCCUCUCAUCUCUCUUCCUGUCCACCUCCUCAUCCUGCUAUCCUGCUAUAUAUCCUGCUAUAAUUGAUAAUAUGUAUUUAUUUGCUUAUCUGAUUUUGUUUGGUGUCCCUAAACUAGAAUGUAAUCUGCUUUGGCCUGUGCCUGGCAUAUGCUAGUUAAUAAAUACAGUAUUGGUUAGGGAGGGAAGGAAGGUUCAGCUGCUUGGAUUUAAAUCUUGGCUCUGCCACGUAUCAGCUGAAUGACCUUGGAAGUCUUCACUCUCUGUGUCUCAGCUUCUCGUCUGUAGGACAGGAAUAAAUAAGAAAGCAAUGAUAAUAAUUUCUAUCUCAUGGCAUUGUUGUGGGAAUCAGGUGAAAUCAUGUAUGUACAGCGCCUGGCAGAUAUUCAAGUGUUUAAUAAAUGCUAGCUGUGUUUAUUCUUGGACCCCAAUUACCCCCUUUGUGAAAUGGGGUUGUUGUAAAAAUUAAAUGAGAUAGCAAAUGUAAAGCGCUUUGCACGUAGUGCACCCUCUAUAAAGAUUUGUGGUUAUUUUUCAUUAAUACAUGCACACAUACACACACAC